rnacentral:lncRNA from 1 species
UAAAACUGCAUAUUUAAAUUAUUUGACUUACAUGAAACAAUUGUUCAGCUAUCUGGGCAGCUGUCAAUGAAAUACCUGAGAGUAACAACACUACUCCUUUAUCUACCUGGAUUACUUUCCCACAAAAAUUUAUCUUCAUAAACUAUCUCUAUUAAUCAGGUUUCUAAGCUCCACAGCCUAUUUCAGUUAAAAUCAUCUAUUCAACAAUUAAAAAAAAAAAACUGCAGUCAUCAAGGAUGGAAAUGUAUGAUUUGUGUAAAAAAGUCUUUACUAACUUUACACUGUACCACAGAUAAAUGUGAUUUUGAUAACAAUUCCAUACAAUGACAAAUAUGGCACAUAGAUUUUCUUUAAAAUAUCCUGCCUCUGUAGAAAACAUUUUAAUAUAGAGUGUAUUUUUAAAUUAAAGUAUUUGAAAUCAAAAU